CCUACGGGUGGCAGCAGUGAGGAAUAUUGGUCAAUGGGCGAGAGCCUGAACCAGCCAAGUCGCGUGAGGGAGUACUGCCCUAUGGGUUGUAAACCUCUUUUGUCGGGGAGCAAAAGCCGGACGUGUCCGGCUGUUAGAUUACCCGUAGAAACAGCAUCGGCUCACCCCGUGCCAGCAGCCGCGGUAAUACGGAGGAUGCGAGCGUUAUCCGGAUUUAUUGGGUUUAAGGGGUGCGCAGGCGGUGUUUUAAGUCAGCGGUCAAAUCGUGGGGCUAAACCCCAUCCAGCCGUUGAAACUGGGGAUCUAGAGUGUGCGAGAGGUAGGCGGAAUGCGUGGUGUAGCGGUGAAAUGCAUAGAUAUCACGCAGAACCCCGAUUGCGAAGGCAGCAUGCCGGUGCACAACUGACGCUCAGGCACGAAAGCGUGGGUAUCGAACAGGAUUAGAUACCCUAGUAGUC
rnacentral:rRNA from 1 species